rnacentral:rRNA from 1 species
GACGAACGCUGGCGGCGUGCUUAACACAUGCAAGUCGAACGGAAAGGCCCUGCUUUUGUGGCGUGCUCGAGUGGCGCACGGGUGAGUAACACGUGAGUAGCCUGCCCUUGACUUUGGGAUAACUUCAGGAAACUGGGGCUAAUACCGGAUAGGAGCUCCUGCUGCAUGGUGGGGGUUGGAAAGUUUCGGCGGUUGGGGAUGGACACGCGGCUUAUCAGCUUGUUGGUGGGGUCGUGGCUUACCAAGGCUUUGACGGGUAGCCGGCCGGAGAGGGGGACCGGCCACAUUGGUACUGCGGUGCGGCGCAGACGCCUACGGGGGGAAGCAGUGGGGAAUAUUGCACAAUGAGGGGAAGCCUGAUGCAGCAGCGCCGCGGGCGGGAGGAAGGCCUUCGGGUUGUAAACCGCUUUCGCCCGUGACGAAGCGGGAGUGACGGUAAUGGGUAAAGAAGCACCGGCUAACUACGUG